ACAGGCUGACUGAUGAGUCAUAGGGGAGCGUCUGUCUGUGUGUGUGUCUGUGCAUUAUGUGUAUUUAUUUCUGUGCUGAUAUACCAAAUGUAUUGAGUUUGCACUCUGAACACACAUGCCGCCUCCCUGGUGGGAGAAAUGAUGGCUACUUUCACACAACACGCCUUCAGUCUCAAUUCAGAUUGGCUGCUCAUGUCAUUUUAACCCCAGAGGAUCAGAUAUGAUAUCUCCUACUACAUCUAUACUUCAGUCGAACACAUGGUGGUUUGGGUUUUAAAUUGGAUGCAUCUUUUUUUACAGGCUGGUUGGUGUAUAAGCUUUCCUUCAUCCGCCAACUUAACACCGGCUUAGGCAGCUUGCUGUGAGACCCACAAUUAUGAGAUUUGUCUCAGCUGAAUGAUGUGCGGUUUACUUAUUGUCAUGGCAACACUUACACUUGAUGCUUUGAGCAUUCAAAUAUAAGAUAGGAAAAAAUGUGAGUUGAGACACCUUCAGCUGCAGUUUCAACACUGCUGUAAAGCAACAGGACCAACUCAUUAAGAUGGUGAAAGUGUCUGGUCGCUGCGACCCUCCUCCACCCUUCCACCUCUGGUUUUCGAUGGGUUGUACACCGCUCUUUCACCACCACCUGUGUCUAGACUUUAAUGUCAUGACCAUCUAACCACCAAAGACUCCUCACAUAUCCCUUUAACUUAUCCUGUUGUGCACACUAUGUCAAAUAAACAAUUGCAGUUUUGCAAUUUUCAAAUCCA